rfam:Salmo salar isolate Sally breed double haploid chromosome ssa19, whole genome shotgun sequence.
UGCACUCACUACUGUAAGUCGCUCUGGAUAAGAGUGUCUGCUAAAUGACUAAAU